UACGAAGGGGCUAGCGUUGCUCGGAAUCACUGGGCGUAAAGGGUGCGUAGGCGGGUCUUUUAAGUCAGGGUGAAAUCCUGGAGCUCAACUCCAGAACUGCCUUUGAUACUGAAGAUCUUGAGUUCGGGAGAGGUGAGUGGAACUGCGAGUGUAGAGGUGAAAUUCGUAGAUAUUCGCAAGAACACCAGUGGCGAAGGCGGCUCACUGGCCGAUACUGACGCUGAGGCACGAAAGCGUGGGGAGCAAACAGG
rnacentral:rRNA from 1 species